CAAAGAGCAUGGGGGACAGAAUGGAAGAAUAGAUGUGACAUUCCAAGCAAAUGGACUGUGUUGAAGAUGCAUGAGCCCUGAUCUUCUGUGCAAACUGAAAUCAUCAGGUACCAGGAACCUGUUGAAGGAUCCUGUUCAGGAUACCACCUCACAUGUGGUCAUGAUGUCUGCUU